rnacentral:rRNA from 1 species
GGGGAAUAUUGGACAAUGGGCGCAAGCCUGAUCCAGCCAUGCCGCGUGUGUGAAGAAGGCCCUAGGGUUGUAAAGCACUUUCAGCGAGGAGGAAAGGUGAUUGUUUAAUACGCAAUUGCUGUGACGUUACUCGCAGAAGAAGCACCGGCUAACUCCGUGCCAGCAGCCGCGGUAAUACGGAGGGUGCAAGCGUUAAUCGGAAUUACUGGGCGUAAAGCGCGCGUAGGCGGUUUGUUAAGUUGGAUGUGAAAGCCCAGGGCUCAACCUUGGAACUGCAUCCAAAACUGGCAGGCUAGAGUAUUGUAGAGGGGUGUGGAAUUUCAGGUGUAGCGGUGAAAUGCGUAGAGAUCUGAAGGAACAUCAGUGGCGAAGGCGACACCCUGGACAAAUACUGACGCUGAGGUGCGAAAGCGUGGGGAGCAAACGGGAUUAGAUACCCCGGUAGUCCACGCCGUAAACGAUGUCUACUAGCCGUUGGAUCCCUUGUGGAUUUAGUGGCGCAGCUAACGCACUAAGUAGACCGCCUGGGGAGUACGGUCGCAAGAUUAAAACUCAAAUGAAUUGACGGGGGCCCGCACAAGCGGUGGAGCAUGUGGUUUAAUUCGACGCAACGCGAAGAACCUUACCUACUCUUGACAUCCAGAGAAUUCGCUAGAGAUAGCUUAGUGCCUUCGGGAACUCUGAGACAGGUGCUGCAUGGCUGUCGUCAGCUCGUGUUGUGAAAUG